GAUCCCAGGAUAGGGGGCUGCCAUGGGAGUCAGGGAUUUGCACCCCAAAUUUCAGGUGGUAUCUGAGCUCUGUGUGUCCUUCCUACCCACCUCUCAGGCGCUACUUACAUCUGAUAAACUCAAGUGGUGGACAGAACAGAGAGGGCCUUCUCCAAGGUGACUUGCUAAGUCCUCCCCUAACGACGAAACAGAGAAGCUUCCUGCCCCUGUUACACAUGGCCUCCUCCCGGGCCCAGCAGCUCACCUGGACCACGGAAAGCACAGAAAGAACUGGCUGAAUGAAUCAAGAGAUCAAGUGCUCUCCCUGAGGCCCUGUAACAGCUCUGCAUCUGACUGCCCAGAAGGAAGCAGAAGUGAGUGACAAGUUGGGGGAACCAGAGCUUGCACACCAUAGGCCUGAACACUAGCCUCUGGGGAAAGGCAAGUCCAUCUGACCUUGGUGAAGUUAGGACCCGGGCCGAGGCCACCUCUUCGGGUUCACCCUCUGCUGGCCUCCCAGCUUCUUUGGCUCAGCAACACCCAGGAUUCCAGGCAUGUUUGCCUCUGGCCUUCUAAAAAUACCCAGGCCACCCAGCACCUCCCAGAUGUCUGAGCGCUGAGUCUGUGAUUUCCCUGCCGGUAAUGGGACAGCCCCG
rnacentral:lncRNA from 1 species